GGAGAGGAGGCGUAAGGGCUGCUAUUCAUUCUUUAGUGGCGUAGCUCAAAGAGAAGGAGGAAGCUCUCUUCAAAGAGCACUCGGAUGAAUGGGACAUUGCCAGUGAAGUGAUGAAGAUCAUCAUCAUCGGAGGAUCUACAGCAUUUGACCCAGCCUGAGCAAGAAUCGUGAUAGAAGGAACUGAAGUCUUACAAGAACUUGAUGUUCCCAGAGCUGUGCCUUGCUAAUGGGACUUAUAUAUAUGCCUUAAACCUCAGCUACACAAAGGUGCUGAAACAUUCCUUUGAAGUGUUUCAGAGGGUAUUCCUUGGGCUGGAUGGUCUGAAAGCUAGCCCAAAGGUUAUUUUUCUAAAAACCGCAAGAUUUUUACCUUACUUUCAAAAUGUGUUGAGAAUAAAAAGAGCAAAAUAAUAGA